rnacentral:rRNA from 1 species
CAGAGGUGGCAAGCGUUGUUCGGAAUUACUGGGCGUAAAGGGCGCGUAGGCGGUUCGUUAAGUCCUGUGUGAAAUCCCCCGGCUCAACUGGGGAACUGCACAGGAAACUAGCGGGCUUGAGUUCGGGAGAGGGAAGCGGAAUUCCGGGUGUAGCGGUGAAAUGCGUAGAUAUCCGGAGGAACACCGGUGGCGAAGGCGGCUUCCUGGACCGACACUGACGCUGAGGCGCGAAAGCUAGGGGAGCAAACGGGAUUAGAUACCCCGGUAGUCCUAGCUGUAAACGAUGAGUGCUGGGUGUAGGGGUAUUAACCCCCCCUGUGCCGAAGCUAACGCAUUAAGCACUCCGCCUGGGGAGUACGGUCGCAAGGCUG